GGUUCAUUCAAAUUUCUUCCCUAUCAACUUUCGAUGCGAGGGUAUUGUCCUCGCAUGGUUACAACGGGUAACGGAGGGUUAGGGCUCGACCCCGGAGAAGGAGCCUGAGAAACGGCUACUACAUCCAAGGAAGGCAGCAGGCGCGCAAAUUACCCAAUCCCGACCGGGGAGGUAGUGACAAUAAAUACUGAUACAGGGCUCUUUUGGGUCUUGUAAUCGGAAUGAGUACAAUUUAAAUCUCUUAACGAGGAACAAUUGGAGGGCAAGUCUGGUGCCAGCAGCCGCGGUAAUUCCAGCUCCAAUAGCGUAUAUUAAAGGUGUUGUGGUUAAAAAGCUCGUAGUUG
rnacentral:rRNA from 1 species